CUUAAAAAUGUUUUUUGUAAGCUUGCCCAACUCGCUGACAGGAAAAAGGUGAAGAUAAUAAAACCAGAUGAUGAAUGAUCAAAGCCUGGGACUUGGAGGAAAAGGAAAACCCUCAGAGAAGUGUGAAACAAUGAUGGUAGCAGCUCAAGAUCAAAAUGCAUUGUCUCCAGAAUUUUAAAAAGGACAACCUAGAGACAUAUACCCAGACAAAGUAUUCAUGAGCUAAAUAACUAGCAUAGACAGACAG
rnacentral:lncRNA from 1 species